AGCUGGGCCCUGCGACUGCGGGGUGGGUGGCGGAACCGAGGGCGGAGGGCGGCGACGCGAGGGUGACCAGGGUGGCAGGCCGGGUGUCUGGGGGGAGAGCUGGCACUGAACGGGUGGGAGCCAGGGGACUGGAGCCCGUGGAGAGGGUGUCAGGUGCGCCGGAAAGGAGAGCGCUGUGCUCCGGGUGCUGGCAGGUGUCAGGGGUGGCGGGGUGGCGCAGGUUUCGCUACCAGCGAGGAUUGCGGCCCUCCUCCGCCCAGGGCCGGAGACCCCUAAGCCACCCUCCCUGGUGAGACCACCGCCCCUUUCCCCAGCCCUUAGAGGCCAACGGCUGUCCUGCGGCCGAACCUCGGUCGCACAGAGUCUUGGGAGAGGACAGGCUGCCCCAGGAGAAAGUGAUCAGUUUGUUGGGGUCUGAAGGCGGUGACCUUGGACACCUAAGGCCCAAGAGCCCCAGGGUGCCCUCCGCCCCGCCCCCCCCCAGCAUCCGCGCGUCCUCUCUUUUGUCUCCUGCCAAGGGCCCCUUCUCUGUGGCGGCAGCAUCCAUGGCUGGGGCGACCUCCGCGCCUCCUCCGCCCUGCGCGACCCUCUCCAAGAGUCCACAGCUCCCCGGCUGAUACCCAGGACCCCUCCACCCCGCGGGCGCCGGACCCCGAGGCGGCCCCGUGGUCCCCAACCUUCUUGCCGCUGCCGCGGGUGAGGGACACGCCUGAAAACUGCAGCACCGCGAGGCGAGAGGGCCCGAAUGAGCCGGGUUCCCGCGGCGGAGCGCAGCCCGCAGCUGUUGAGUGAGACCCUCCCAGAAGUGUCAGCAAGCUGUCAUCGCCUCCCUUCCCGCUGGGGGUGGAAGGGGGGCUUGCAGCCCAAUUCCUGGGCACAAAGAGAGACAGAGAGAACAAAAGCCCAGCCGCCCCCAAACACCCCUUGUGCCCGACUGCAGCUCGGGGCAGAGGUCCCCAGAUGCGGCGGCCGGAACCAGGGUUGGGAGGGGUCGGGCAGGGGGCAGAGGGGCGGAAGGUCGGCCCACAUGCCCGCUUGCGGGGCUCCAGCGCCUGACCCCGAGUUACUAACCCAGCUCCCACAGAUGCAGAAGCGUCCAGGGCGAGUGAUGCCCGGGGUCACACAGCAAGUUAAAGACAGGACUCAGGCCGGAAUCCCGCUUCCCGGCUCCCAGCCCUGGGCAAGGGGACCGCGUCCAGGCAGAAAGGGCUGUGCCUGGUGUCAGCACCCGGACCUGGGGGUGGCGGCUCGGGUGGGACCGAGCCGCGCGGGAAGGACCCAAGCGACGGCCGCACACACGCUGCUGGUGUGGACGCGCGCCGAGCGGCUAGAGCCCCGCCCGGGCGCCGAGCGCAGCGCUCCCGGGGAUGAACUCCUCGCCCGACACCUUGAGCCCCACCAGCUCCCGCACCUAACGGUUUAUUUCUCAGCUCCCGUUUCACCGCCAAAUUUCCGCGGAGGGCCCGGCGUGGAAACGCGUGUUCAAGAUUACGUGGAUAAAAGGACCCUUUCCUCCAGGGUUUCUUUUUUGGGAAGGGGCUUCGGAUAAGGCGAGGGUGGAACUCAUCCUUCCGAAAGCCUGGAUGCCCUUGAGGACUCAGUACUUCGGGCUCAAGGCCUGCCUUCAUUUCAUACCAUUUGCCGGUACUGUCCCGCAUCCCCGCCUCUACCGAGUGGGCAUUCUCGUUAACUGUUCCACGGCCCCUCCCCAACUUGGAAGUAUGAUACUGCGCAUUUUAAUUUUCACAAGGAGCUGGUUUUGUAUCGGAAGGAUGUGUUGAUGACAGCCAAGUCUUUCCCUGAAGUUUUCAGUUUAUCUGCCAACCCAUAUCACCCUUAUUCUGCUUAGCUCUCAGAGAAGAGGCUGGUGAAGAAGGGCUUUCAAAGAGAAAGACAAAUCGCUCUCAGUUGGGUCCUCCAGCAUCCAAGCGUUUCUUUUUGUCUGUGUAUUACACUCAAUUCCUCUCCAUCUCGGUCGUUGUACAUCAGACAUGAAGGCGUCAGAACAGUAUAUUUCAUCAUCACUUACAUGCUAUUAACUUUAAUGAUGCACUAACAUUUCUAAAUUUUCCCUUCCUGAGACCAUUGUAGAAAUUACACAUGUAAAAUAAAAUUCGACCUUUAUUUUAUGCAUAGCAUCGUGUGGCUGAGGUGAGUAAGAU